rnacentral:rRNA from 1 species
GGUGAAAUGCUUAGAUAUCACGAAGAACUCCGAUCGCGAAGGCAGGUGUCCGGGCUGCAACUGACGCUGAGGCUCGAAAGUGUGGGUAUCAAACAGGAUUAGAUACCCUGGUAGUCCACACAGUAAACGAUGUAUACUCGCGGUUUGCGAUAGACAGUAAGCCGCCAAGCGAAAGCAUUAAGUAUACCACCUGGGGAGUACGCCGGCAACGGUGAAACUCAAAGGAAUUGACGGGGGCCCGCACAAGCGGAGGAACAUGUGGUUUAAUUCGAUGAUACGCGAGGAACCUUACCCGGGAUUGAA